UACAGAGGGUGCAAGCGUUAAUCGGAAUUACUGGGCGUAAAGCGUGCGUAGACGGUUAUCUAAGUCGGAUGUGAAAUCCCCGGGCUCAACCUGGGAAUUGCAUUCGAGACUGAAUAGCUAGGGUGCGGAAGAGGGAAGCGGAAUUUCCGGUGUAGCGGUGAAAUGCGUAGAUAUCGGAAGGAACAUCAGUGGCGAAGGCGGCUUCCUGGUCCAGCACCGACGUUCAGGCACGAAAGCGUGGGGAGCAAACAGG
rnacentral:rRNA from 1 species